AAACCUGCGAAUGGCUCAUUAAAUCAGUUAUCGUUUAUUUGAUAGUUCCUUUACUACAUGGUAUAACUGUGGUAAUUCUAGAGCUAAUACAUGCUUAAAAUCUCGACCCUUUGGAAGAGAUGUAUUUAUUAGAUAAAAAAUCAAUGUCUUCGGACUCUUUGAUGAUUCAUAAUAACUUUUCGAAUCGCAUGGCCUUGUGCUGGCGAUGGUUCAUUCAAAUUUCUGCCCUAUCAACUUUCGAUGGUAGGAUAGUGGCCUACCAUGGUUUCAACGGGUAACGGGGAAUAAGGGUUCGAUUCCGGAGAGGGAGCCUGAGAAACGGCUACCACAUCCAAGGAAGGCAGCAGGCGCGCAAAUUACCCAAUCCUAAUUCAGGGAGGUAGUGACAAUAAAUAACGAUACAGGGCCCAUUCGGGUCUUGUAAUUGGAAUGAGUACAAUGUAAAUACCUUAACGAGGAACAAUUGGAGGGCAAGUCUGGUGCCAGCAGCCGCGGUAAUUCCAGCUCCAAUAGCGUAUAUUAAAGUUGUUGCAGUUAAAAAGCUCGUAGUUGAACUUUGGGCCCGGUUGGCCGGUCCGAUUUUUUCGUGUACUGGAUUUCCAACGGGGCCUUUCCUUCUGGCUAACCUUGAGUCCUUGUGGCUCUUGGCGAACCAGGACUUUUACUUUGAAAAAAUUAGAGUGUUCAAAGCAGGCGUAUUGCUCGAAUAUAUUAGCAUGGAAUAAUAGAAUAGGACGUUUGGUUCUAUUUUGUUGGUUUCUAGGACCAUCGUAAUGAUUAAUAGGGACGGUCGGGGGCAUCAGUAUUCAAUUGUCAGAGGUGAAAUUCUUGGAUUUAUUGAAGACUAACUACUGCGAAAGCAUUUGCCAAGGACGUUUUCAUUAAUCAAGAACGAAAGUUAGGGGAUCGAAGAUGAUCAGAUACCGUCGUAGUCUUAACCAUAAACUAUGCCGACUAGGGAUCGGGUGGUGUUUUUUUAAUGACCCACUCGGCACCUUACGAGAAAUCAAAGUCUUUG
rnacentral:rRNA from 1 species